rnacentral:miRNA from 1 species
AAAACCCAGUUAAUUUGAGUUUCAGAUGAUCAAGGAAUUAUUUUUUUAAUAUAAGUAUAUCCCAUGCAAUAUUUGGAACAUACUUAUACUAAAAACUAUUAUGAGAUUUUCUGGAAUUCAGAUGUAACUAGGUGUUCUCUA